rnacentral:rRNA from 1 species
AACGAACGCUGGCGGCAGGCUUAACACAUGCAAGUCGAGCGCAUCCUUCGGGGUGAGCGGCAGACGGGUGAGUAACGCGUGGGAAUGUACCCUUUGCUACGGAAUAGCUCCGGGAAACUGGAAUUAAUACCGUAUGAGCCCUUCGGGGGAAAGAUUUAUCGGCAAAGGAUCAGCCCGCGUUGGAUUAGCUAGUUGGUGGGGUAAAGGCCUACCAAGGCGACGAUCCAUAGCUGGUCUGAGAGGAUGAUCAGCCACAUUGGGACUGAGACACGGCCCAAACUCCUACGGGAGGCAGCCGUGGGGAAUAUUGGACAAUGGGCGCAAGCCUGAUCCAGCCAUGCCGCGUGAGUGAUGAAGGCCUUAGGGUUGUAAAGCUCUUUCACCGGAGAAGAUAAUGACGGUAUCCGGAGAAGAAGCCCCGGCUAACUUCGUGCCAGCCGCCGCCGUAACAC